rnacentral:rRNA from 1 species
UGGCCAGACUCCUACGGGAGGCAGCAGUGGGGAAUAUUGGGCAAUGGGCGCAAGCCUGACCCAGCAAUGCCGCGUGAAGGAAGAAGGCUUUCGGGUUGUAAACUUCUUUGACAGGGGAAGAGCAGAAGACGGUACCCUGAAAACAAGCCACGGCUAACUACGUGCCAGCAGCCGCGGUAAUACGUAGGUGGCAAGCGUUGUCCGGAUUUACUGGGUGUAAAGGGCGUGUAGCCGGGAAGGCAAGUCAGAUGUGAAAUCCGGAGGCUCAACCUCCGAAUUGCAUUUGAAACUGCUUUUCUUGAGUACUGGAGAGGCAGACGGAAUUCCUUGUGUAGCGGUGAAAUGCGUAGAUAUAAGGAGGAACACCGGUGGCGAAGGCGGCCUGCUGGACUGCAACUGACGUUGAGGCCCGAAAGCGUGGGGAGCAAACAGGAUUAGAUACCCGUGUA